UACGAAGGGGGCUAGCGUUGUUCGGAAUUACUGGGCGUAAAGCGCAUGUAGGCGGAUCGCUAAGUCAGGGGUGAAAUCCCGAGGCUCAACCUCGGAACUGCCUUUGAUACUGGCGAUCUUGAGUCCGGGAGAGGUGAGUGGAACUCCGAGUGUAGAGGUGAAAUUCGUAGAUAUUAGGAAGAACACCAGUGGCGAAGGCGGCUCACUGGUCCGGUACUGGACGCUGAGGUGCGAAAGCGAUGGGGAGCAAAGCUAGG
rnacentral:rRNA from 1 species